rnacentral:lncRNA from 1 species
UACCCUCUACAAAGAAAGCUUUAGGUCCAAGUCAGUGCCUUCUUCUCCGUCGUCCUUUUUCUCUGCUUCCUCCUUUCUCUUGGAAGGACCGGCUGCUGCCUGACUAUCCUUGCCAUCCUCCAAGAAAUCUUCUGGCAGAAAUGAUGGAUUCCAAGCCACAGUACUAACCUUCUCUUCUCCAACUUUCCUGAUCUCCUCUUUCUCUUUAAAUAUUCUGAUAUUUGAGUUUCUUCUUAUUUGAUCAUGCAUUUGUUUUGUACUUCUCAGCAAAGCAAAGAACUUCUCCAUCUUCUCUUCUUCUUCUUCUUCUUCUUCUUCUUCAUCAUCUUCCUUUCCCUUUUCUUCUCCUUCAACAUACUCCGUCUUCCUCUUCUUUGCUUCCCUCUCCAUGCCAAGCUAGCUAGCUAUUUCCUCCAACAAAAACAAAUAUCAAAGAGAGAAGCAUAAGCACUAGACCAUAGAGUGUCUCUUGUUGUACAAUGCUUGAUGGGUUAAACCAAACCACACACUGCACUUGCACUAUAUGCCUGUAUCACAAGAAGUAUUUUACAGAAAUGGGCUUGGCUUUUCAUGUUUGAUUCGAAUGUGAAAGCAUCUACCCAUAUAUAAACAAUUGCUUAAGACUUGAUUGGUGCAAACUUUAGUUUCAAUGUACAGAAGCUGAUUUAAAAAUUACCUCAUCGUCAAGGCCUAAUAAAAUUUAGAUUUGAAUUCUGGCAAAAGCAAGUGAAAAACACAAUGAGUCCUCUGUUUUCUUGUGGAGAGAUAGGUUGUGGUUGGAGUGGAUACUACACGAUGGAAUAGAAUAAUGGCAAUAACGUCAUGAUGCUGUGUUGCAUACCGCAUAAAGGUGAUGCAAGCACCGUGACAUCUUGUCAUUUUGGUGGAGUUUCCUAUGGGGGGCCUGCCUGACCUCUUCUUCUUUUCUGUAUUUAAUUAACACCUUACAAAACUAAUGUCUUCGUCGUUCGUUUUCCUUCAUUACUUGUUCUAUGUUCAUAGCAAUAUAUAAUCUAUCACAGCGGCAAUUAAUCUAUUAUUGUCACAGUGAUGUCAUAUGGAUGAUCUCAUACUACAAUUUAUGGUUGUCAUCCUCCACGUAGGGCUUGCUAAUAACAUGUAAUUUGUAGCAUAUUUACAAGUUUGGCUUGGACUUGUUUCAUGUUUCAACCGAAACAAAGCUCAAAGUCUUUAGGAGCCAAGUAUUCUGUCGGUGUAAAAGCAGCUAUUUAUUUUCCAGUAAAAAUAUAGUCGAUGGAUUUACUGUCGUAACCAUUUCGUCACCUAGUGUCAUUGGAAUAUUUUUAUCGGUGAUGAACAUAUACGACGAUCAAUUUUUGUCAGUAUAUUAAUCAAAAAAUAUUUUCGACGGACUUCUGAUAGGUAACUCAUAGAUAAUGUAUCACGUCCUUUCAAUGAAUACCCAAUAGAAUAAUCGACAACCAUGUUCUAUUUUCUAUCAGUGAUUCUAUCAAUCUAUAUCAAAAUAUUUAAUAAUUCUCUGUAAUUAUUUAUUGAAAAUUAGCAUAUUUUAUCGGUGAGUCCUUCUAUCAUUAACCAAGUCACCAUAUCAAUAACAGGCCCACUGAUAUAAGAGUUUAAAAUAGUUAGUAUCUCUAUAAGUAAUGUAAAAAAUUUUAGUUUAUCAAAAUCACAAACUCUUACGUCAUUUAUAAAUAAUAAAUUAUAAUUUUUUUAUUUAAAAAACGAUGGUUUUAAACUUUGUCACAUAUAUUUCAUCAUUAAGCAACUUUAUAUUUUGACAGUCACAAAACAAAAUUAUAUUCAUUCUAACUUUGAUAUUGUCUUUUUUUUUCCCUUUGACGUUUAUUAUUGUGUUAAAAAUAUUUUUAAAUACAUUCUUCUAAAUAUACAUGAUAUCCAAAUUAUAACGGAUGACAUUAGUCUUUCAAUAAAAAAAUUCCUAAAAAAUACUUCGCUUUACUUAAUUAUGAAUCAAAUCAAAACCAUGAAACUUUUAUUAAUCAAAUUAAAAACCAAAUACAAUGUUCUCAUACUAUGAGACUACAUUAUACAAUUCUUCACCCAACAGUAUCAAAGAUGCAACAUCCGUUUCAGCUUUACCUUUUAGGAAGUUUUUUUUUUUUUUGUUUUUUUUUCCUGUAUCAAUAAUAACUUGACAAGAACCUUCAGUGACAAUAAAAAAAGAAGUUUUAACAUCAUUCGUUAAGGUAAGAUUUUAUUGUUUUUCAUACAAUAUAGACAUUCUGAUUUUUCAUAUGUGCUCCAUCCUGAAACCAUCUCAUACACAGGAAAAUUAUUUAUAGUCCACUUCAAAACUAUCUUCAUUUGAUAAUUAUGUUUCCUUACGACAUCAUACAUCAAAGCUUUAAAUAACAAUAACUAUUUAAACUCAUCAAUCAAUGGUUGAAGACAAACAUAUAUAUAUAUAUAUAUAUAUAUAUAUAUAUAUAUAUAUAUAUAUAUAUAUUCCCAACUAGACUGUAAGAUCAAAUAUGAUUGAAGAUAAGAACAUGGAUUUUGGCCUCAUGUAUAUCUUCGGGAGCAAGUGAUAAAUUGUUAGUACGAUUGACCAACAAAAUAUAGUUCAACAAAUGACCAAAUGGAUUAAAUAUAUUUGUACACAAAUCAAGAUACAUGUUUCGUGGUUUCAUUGAAAACUAAAAAUGCACCCUGUUAAACUAUUUACAAGCUUCAUCAUUGAAGGGUGCACCAUGACUCCAUCCUUUGCAUCAUGUGAAUGAUAUCAUGUCAUAUGCUUAAAUGUAUUCGGAGACAUAAAUAACCUUUGUAGCCUAGGAGUGAUUGAGAAGUGUCUCAUUUUUUUAUAUGCAACAAGUGUUUUUCCUCUACUCGUAUUGGGUUUAUAUAGAGUAUGGCCACAAAUUUUUUACUCGGUUAAAUUUAUAUCUUUACCAUAGUACAAUAUGUAGAAAUUUGACACAUAACAAUUUUUUUGGUAUCCUGUGCCAAAGGAUUUCAUCAUGGAUUUUACAGUAAAGAAGUUUUCUUUUAGUCUAUUUUCUUAAGAUAAAAUGUUUUUUACUCAUUCAAUUAUGCUAUCAUAAUCAGCCUUACUCAUAAUAUAAUCUAACUUAAUGGUAAACACUCGUGCAAUGACUGUUAAUUUAUUGUAAUUUGUGCACCCAUCUCAUAAUGGUUCAUCAGAAUCUUUUAGAAAUUCAAGAAACCUAGUUGCAUCUAUAUUUGGUUCUUCAUCUAUAUGUAAACCUUCACAUGAAUAACUAUGAUUUAUUUAUAUUGCAUCCAUCACAAUACUCUUAUAACAAUUAUUAUUAUUAUCAUAUACAACUUUAUUUAUGUUGUUAGAACUAGAUGUUGAGCCAACAAUCAUUUCUAACAUAGUCUUGUAAGGAACAUAAGGUUCUUUGUGUGUAAACCAACAUAAAUAUUUAUCUAUAAACUUUUUUUUUAGAAGAUGCAUCAACUCAACAUCUAAUUGGUAGAAACUUUUGUUUUUACACUUCACACAUGAACAUUUAAAUUCGCUUGAACUAAUAUUCUUUGAAUUUAAAAGUGUGAAAUUAAUAAAACCUUCCAUCCCUUUAAAAUAAUCUUCCCUAUACAAUUUUUGGUGUGAAUCUUGAUACAUCUAAGAACGAUAAUCAAUUACUUAGGAAAUCUAUAUAGAAUAAUGAUGACAAAAUUUCUAAAUAAUAUAACAAUUAAUUCAAAAUUCAACUUUGGUAAUUAAAAUGAAUUCACAAUGUAAUAACCAAUUAUUAAUUUUGUAUAAAAAUGUAAUGAUAUGUCAAAAUAUUAACUAAAUAAAUCCAACUAACAAUAAUUAAUUGGUACUCAAUUAAUUAUCUAUCAUUUAUUCAAUUCAAACUUAUUAAUCUAAAUUUUUAUCAUUUAAUUUUUAUCAAUUCCAUAAAAAAUUAAUUUCCCCAAAAUCUCCAACAUAACAAAAUAUGAUAGUUAUUUAUAAUACACAUAAGUUACAAAAUAAAUUUCAUCAAAUUAAAAAAAUUCAAAUUUCUCCUAAAUUAAAAACAAACUCUAACAUACAAAUCAAAUUUUAAUUCUAUAUAAAAAGGUUAUAAAAUAUUUAAAUAUACAAGCAAUACUAAAAAAAAUAUUAUUAUAUUGGAGAUUGCCUACAUGAAUUACGGAAGGAAUUUUUCAUGUAAAUUUAUUUUAUUUUUUAUUUUAUUUUAUUGUGUUGGAGAUUCCAUCUUUAAUUACGGACCGAAUUUUUCAUGUAAGAAAUUACAUUGGAAAUUGCCGACAGAAAUCCAUCGCUGUUAUCAUUGAACAUUACCAAUAAAAAGUAAUUCAUCAAUAAUUCAUAGCGGUAGUUAAAAGGUUUAUCUUGCCUGCUGUUAGCUGCUCAACAACCACAGAGUUGUGGGGUAAAAGCAACAACUUCCCUGAUAAGCAGCUUCCAACUGCUUUUGUAAGACGAAGACAUUAUAGUGGAUGGAGAUUGUCAGACAUGAAUAGAUUCAAAAUAGGGGAGUUGGAUCGCCAUGACUGAGCUUUGUAUUCACAUGGGCAAUGGAUGGUGAGCUUUGGAUUUAUGUAGUAAUAACUACCUAACUAGCCAGAGCUGUAAUAAAUAUUUAGCCAAGUUUAAACCAAACUUAAUGCACAAAUAAGAUACCUUCGAUAUCAGGUGGGACCUGAAUUCACAUUAUUCUUGCUGAAAUUUUAAACAUCAAGUUCCAUCAAUAGAUAAUCUGUGUUCACAGAAAUAUCUUUAUUAUGGGCCAAGCUAGGCUGGCAAAUCCAGAGCUCCAUGAUCACUGGCAUUCAACUUUAUUGACACAGGAAAGUAGAUUGUGCUACUGAUGCACAACAACAUGGUAUCCAAGGUUAAUGUAUGAAACACAACUCAAGUUCUGACACUUGAGCAUGUCAUGAUAUUGUAUGAUACAGAAGAGUGUGAUUGAAGCUCAUUGUUUGUCAAGAACAUAGAACUGAAUCUUACUUUGGAAAUUGUAAGGAAAAUGAAAUUGAUGGGGAUCUCCAAAGCUUUUCUCCGUGAUUGUAUGGUGAUUUGAAGCUCCCAUAAGAAGCUUCAAUCACCCUCAGCAGACCAUUAUUUUGCUAGUUAAGGCAGCUGGACUGUGGUAACAGAAAAUCAAACAGGGAACAUGUUAGUUGAACAUUUCAGUAAAUCAGAGUAAUUUUAAACGCUAAACAUGUAUACAGUUAUUUAUUUCUUGUGGUCCUGGAGACGGAAUGCCUAUUUCAUACUGCCUAUCAUGCAUGUAGUUGUUCUCAAACAUCAGAUUCGAAGCCUUCAACAAGCUUCAGUUGUCUACCAACCCACCGAACCUGAUAUUUUGCAUAAAGAUAAUAUGGUCCAAUUGGACCUCUACCUCCCAGUUCACAGAGUUCUGGUGUCGUACGUUUCUUGUCUAUCUCCUGUAGAGUUGGGGUUAGAAUAUUCCAUGCAGCAGCAAGCUCAUCGCUCCUCAUGAAGAGAUGGUUGUCUCCAUCAAUGAAAUCAAGAAGAAGAUGCUCAGAUGAAUCAUGCACCUCCGCAUUAUACCUAGGGAACUAAAAUAAAGAAUAAGCCGGAGGUCAAAUUAUAGAACAAGGUGGGUGCUGAAUUGGCUUCACUUUAGGAAAUGUGAAUUUAAAUAGAACAUGUCUCGUAACAUGAAAGUGCUUACUUGUCCUUAUACAGCAAAUUGAGUUCAGGAGCAUCCAACUGCAAGCCAAGUCCUGGAAUCUUAUUAUUAAUCUUUACCAGAAUAGCUUCAUCAGGUGCAUGCAUCACUCAGAAUCAGCUCAUUAGUAGCCAGAUCAAUGUUUACUUUGACACGUUCACAACAAAGGUUCUCGGGGACAUUAUGGAAUGUGAAGAGUUUGGAUUCCUGAACCUUAACGCUAUGUGUUCUCAAUGAAGUUCCUUCUUAAGAGAUGGUCUAUCCUUGUAUUUAACACACACUGCUCUAACUCUGCUGCAAUGUCAAGUUCCAUGCAUCUUGAAAAUACUACUCCGAAGCAAAAGCAUUCAGCUUGUUUUUUCUUUCUUCCUCCAUUUGCUUCGUUAGUGCUGUCUCACCAAACUCUUAUGACACACACUAUAUAUUAGUGGUUGAUCAGCUCCUGCCUCCUGACUGCAGGGUGACUUAAUUUAGCUGUGUAUAUAUUUAUACAGCCCAGGUACAAAAUCACAGAAAAUAUGUCAUUCUAGUGGGGACAUACAUAGACCUGCUGGAGGCUGUGAUGCCUUUUAAUUUGGUCCAGUGAAGGUGACCGAAGUGAAUCAACUAGGAUGCUUUCUUUCAAAUUAAGCUGCUAUUAACUAGUGGUUGAUCAUAUACGUCAUAGGAUUACAUCAGUCAAGAAUCUUUUUCCUUGUAAAAUUUUCUGUCAACUUUGAUAACUGUCUUUGUUGUAUCUGUUGAGCUCUAUGAUAUCUGAAACUGUACCUGUUAGUGGCCAAGUACUUCGAUCCUCAAAACAUUUUAUCUUCGGACAUGCUAAUGAAUGAGAAUCAUGAUUUUUCGAGCAGAUAAUCUUGUGAAGAGACAAGUAUCUACGGAACAUUGAGCACAUCCUGGCUGCCCCAGCACACAAAAAAAAUAAAAAAAAUAAUAAUAAAGUUGCUUUUGGCAAAUGGCAUCAAUUAUUAGAGGUGAAUGCAAGGCUGCCCCGCAAAAAAAAAAAAAAAAAGGUUGCUUUAAGCAAAUGGCAUAAAUUAUUAGAGGCAACUGUGCAGCUUGGCAAGGUAAAAGCCUCCUCCUAGUUGAUUAUCAAAGAAAAGUUUUUUACUUUGCCUGGAAUAAAUUUAUUUUGAAAGGUUUGAGAAGCUGUAAAGCCUGUACCCCAAUUUGCCUUCCACAACGUUCUUCCAGAUUUCCAUGCAACUAUCAAGUAGGUCGUACAGUAAAAAAAACUUGAAUCAAAUAAUUUAUUAUUUAUGGUUUUAGAUCCAAGCCCUAUAAUUAUUAUUAUUAAUGAUUAUUAAAAAUUUAUCUAUUUAUUAACUUUAUAAUUUAUAAUGAUUAAUUAAGAUUUGUGUAAACUGUUCUAAACAUUACAUAUAAAUAAGUAAAUAAAAUUUAAUGAUACUGCCCAAAGAGUUACAGCCUACCGUUAACUCCAGUCAAUACCAGCCAUAUUAACAAUAAUUUGGCAGAAUGGCCCUAAUUCAGCCACGUUCUCAGGUCAAAGGUUGUGAAAUCAGGAGUUAGCGGGUUGAUUUAAUAGAUGAAUUAUAGAUAAAUAUUUAACAUGUAUAAAUAUAUUAAUUUUAAUAUUAUAUAGAAAUUUUAUUCAUGGUCAAAUAUAUUUAACAUGUAAAAACAUAUCUUAUAUAUAAAAUAUAAACCAAAAUCCUUUAGAAUUUUACAAACUUAUUAUAUAAUCCAACCAAUAUUUAAAAAAAAAAAACAUGUCAAAGUAUUUUAGAUAUUUUUUAAAAAAAAAUGCUUAAAUAACUUUAGGAAUUUUAGUUAUAUGCAAGAAAAAAAAUAUUUUUUUACCUAACCCGAUUGGAUUGACGUGAAAUUUUUUAUUCGCCUAUAAACAAAAUAAAAAAUUAUAGUUUGAUCUAAAAGAAAAAACCCAAAAAUAAAACUAAAGCAAAAAACAAAUUAAACACCAAAAAUACUUAAAACUUAAAGCUUUUUUAACAAACCGGAUGAAACACAAAAAAAAAAUAAAGAAAAUGAAUAACACCAAGAACACUCGAAACAAACCUAACAAUGCGAACUCAAAUCUAGACCAAAUUUCAUGAAAUCAAAAGGACAUAAAAGUUGUCAAUCAUUCAAGGAUUAAGAAUUAAAGGUUCAUUCACUUCAAUUAUUAUUAAAUUAUCACAAUUUGAUCAAAAUGAGUUUUAGUUCUAAAUCAAAAUUCUAGGAUUAAAAAUCAUUAUAAAUGUAUUAUUGAUGCAAAUAAACACUAGGUUAUUGAUUAAUAAUGCAUAAGGAAGGAUUAUAUGUAAACAAAUGGACCAAAAUUGGUCCACAUCAAGGGUCUAAGACAAUGUUAUUCCUAGUAACAUGAAAAACAUUGCCUAGAAUCUAACAAGAAACCUAGCCAUAAGGUAGCCAUUGUCAAGCCUAGAAAUGGGUAUUUUUGGCCUCUAAAGCAUGUUUUUUUAUCCCGACAAGUUACAAUAUUAUACACAAACAUGUUUGAAUCUAAAGUUAAAAAACAAACAUCAAAAUAUAAAAAACCAAGCAUAAAAUACCAAAUCCAAAACCUAAUAACCUCAAAUUACAACCUACAUGUUUAUGUAACAUAGAUUCAAAAUUGGUUUUCUGUACCCAUUUUAUGCAUGAACAAACUUAACAACCUAAGGAUAAAUACUCUUACUUUAACAUGCAUAGCUUAGGCUAAACCAAAGCUAAAACAACAUUUAUAUAUUUAAAAAAACAUAAAAAUCAACUUUAAUACAUCAAAAAUAUAAAAUAACUUUAAAAUAACUUCUUUAAAUAGAAAUCACAGCAACAAAGAGGUGAAUGCAACACCAUUAGUUAAACAUUUCAAACUUUUUUUAUAUGAAUGUAACUAUAAAUAUAAACAAAAAAAAGGUCAUGAAGGACCUGUUUUUAGGCUGCAAUAUAUACCUCUAACAACUACUCUCUCUUAGCUUUUUUUUGAAAACUUUUGUCUCUUGCAAACUUACAAAAUUUAAGAAAACUUUUGUUUAGACUUUUGUACUUUUAUCUUUAUAUUUCGUAUUGAUAUUUCUCUUCUUUUUCUUAUCUAUUCUUAUCUUUUCUUUUUUUUCUUUUUUUCAGUCCAUUUUCUUGAUCUUAAAGGGGUAUUUGUAGGGUUUUAGGGUUUGGGGAGGUCUUGAAUCCAUUUAUAACCUCUUGAUCUUGAGAGGAGUGUUGUGAACCCUUGAUAAGAACCCAUUGAGGAGCCUUUAUAUGUGAACAUACAAAAAUCAAAUCAUUUUUUGCAUGACAGUUUUAUUAUUGGACCUGAUUGAAUUGCUUAAUUUUAAGGCCUUAUUAGAUCAAUUCUAACGUUAUUGUCGUUUGAAACCACCUAAACCUGGCAGUGGGGGGGGACCUUUCAUUUGGAUCCAACCUUACUCAAUUUAAAGAUUUGUAACUCCACAUUAAUGUGUUUGAAUUUGCCAACUCAAUCAGUUAAAACUAUCAACAUAGAGGUGUAAACUGGCAAAUGAUGUGCCAUUCACCUUCACUUCAUUAAAUUUAAAUGACGUGUCAUUUAUGAUUAUUAAUUUAGAAUGUGGCAAAAUUCAAUUGAGUCCUUAUUUUUUCAAUUGCUUUUACUUAUAAUUGCCUCAAAACUUUUAAUUUUAUGCAAUUUUAUUUUUAUCAAACUUAAUUGUCAGCUAUUUUCCUUUAAGUUCUUAGUUCUUAAUUUGUGCAUUUCAACCCUCUUCUAAAUUUAUGUAUUUUGACCCUCAACUGACCAACAAACUUUUAAUUUUUUCAAUUUGACCCCUAAUAUGGUCCAUUUCAACCCCUAUAUUUUGCGUCUUUUUCAGUUUGGUUUUUUAUUUCUUCGAUCAAGUCUCUAAUUGCCAUUAAGCUUCAAUAUUUAUGCAAUUAAGCCCUGAUUUUAUCAAAUUAAGUCUUAAAAAUUACAAUGCAACCCCUAAACUUAAUUUCUGUCAAUUAAAGUCUAGAUUAACUUUAAAAAUUAAUUUUUUUUUACAAUUAAGCUCUCAAUAAAUUCAAUUAAACCUUGAAAAAUUUCAAUCCAAUCCCUCUAACAUUUAAUUUUGAUUUUUCCUUCUUAAAUUAAUUUUUUUUUUGCCAAUAACACCUUCAUAAAUCAAGAAUACAUUGUUAAAUUUUUCAUUCUUGUAUAUUUUGAUCUCCUUCAACCAAUCUUCAGCAAUCUCCUGAGUAUUCUGGAAUAUUUUUUUCAGUGAUAUUUUCUUAUUUUCUUCCAGCAUUAUUUUUUUAAAAAAAUUGUAUAAAUUUUAUAUUAUAUCAUAAGUUUAUUCAUGGUCAAUUAGUAACGGUGUGUGAAAAGAGGUAAAGGGUUCAAAUCCCACAUCCUAUUUGUAUUUUUUUUUUUUAAUCGCUAAUUACCAGCACAAUCUUACAUGGUAGGAUUCUAAGUUAAUUUUAAAAAAAAAACAAGAAGAAUAUAUAUAUUGUGAAAGCAUUCAAUAAAACAGAUUGAAAUUAUAUGAAUUAAUAAAUUUAAAAAAAAAAAAAACAAAGUAGGAAGGUGAAAAAUAUAUAUGAAAAUAUUAGAUUUUAUGUCGCUGGGUGCUUUUUGAAUUUUUUUUAUUUAAUAAUAUGGCAAUAAAAAUAUAUUUUCAUUAAAAAAUAAUAAUUUAAAGACAAAAAUUUUAUUUUUUGGUAUGAAUUCUUAAUGUAUUUUUUUAGCUAUGUUAUUUCUUGCAUAAAAACUAAAAGUAAUUUAAAUAAAUAUAUAUAUAAAAUUCUUAUUAAAUAAUAAUAAAUAAGUUAUCUCUUUAAUCAAAAAUCCAUUUCCUUGCUCUCUCUUUUUUUUUUUUGCAAUGUUUUUUAAUAAACUUAUAGCAAUCUUAAAAACAAGUUUUAAUAUAAAAAAUAAUGAAUUGAUAAUUUUGACAUAGAUAUAUUAAAAAUAAUAAAAUUAUCUAAUAAUUUACAAUAAAAAAAAAUAGAUAUUUCAUCAGUAUUGAAUAUUUAAUGUUCAUAAAUAAUUUAUUCAGAUAGUAACUGUUAAUAUUUUCAUGAAAAGCACUUAUAUUAUUUUAAAUAAUGGCAUAAUUGGAUAAUUAUUUAAACAUCAUUUUAAUAAAUUUAUUUAAACAAGAUCUGAUUAAAAAAAAAAUUAAAGGAUCAAGCUCGCAUAGGUUAAAAAUAUGAGCCUACAUAGUGGCCCGCAGUUAAAACCAAGGGCGCCUAGUUUUGCUUGUCUUGUUCUUUCUCCUAAAGUGAACAAACGACACAUUGUUCACUUAGUCAAAUGAUGCAUUAUAUGUCUGCAAUCUUUUAAGGUCACUAAACAUGGCUCUGGUGACCGAAAAAUCAUUAUCUAAAUUCUUUGACUCUAAAAAUCUAAAUUUUAACUAUUUUUUUACUUAAAAACAUAAUAUAUAUAUCAUGAAACUCUAAAAUCAUGUUUCUAACAACAUAACACUUUUUAAUCAAUUUAAAAACUCAAAAUCAAAUACAAAAACUUCUCGAACAUUAGUCUACUUUUUAAGGUAUCAUUUAAGGAAGAAACCUCAAUUGAAUUCAUCUCUUAAAACACAAUUCAUAAACAUCAAAAUUGAAGUUAUUGAUCAUCAGAAGAGCUUUCUCUCUUCUUAAUUUUUUUUAUGACUUAAUCUCUCCUUUCUCAAGAUCAAGGGACUAAAAUAUAAAAAAUAAUAAAGUUAGUAACCAAAAUAAAAAAUCCUAAACAAAAAAGGAUCAAAUAUAAAUAAAUUAAAAAUUUAGAGAUGAAAGUGUAGUUUUACGCUCACAAUGAACAUGGAAAGAAGGCUGUUACUUAUUGCCAAAGUUAAUUUUAGUGCGUUGUUCUUUUAAAUUUUUCAGCAUAACUAAAAAAAAUCUUUUUGUAAAAUUACCAUGUCAUUUUAACUCCAAAAUAAUCUCCGACACUUCGGACCCGUUAUUACAUGCAAUCCAAAAAGAAAAAGAAAAGAUAAGAUAACGACAACAUAUUUUUUUAGGACCAAAUUCAUAGAGAAUAAAGUUCGAUUAACUAGUCAAAAGAAUCCAAAACUUAACUAUGUCUGAAACUAGGCCUUGCUGUUCUUGUAAAAUUACCUAGUUCGAUUAAAAGUUGACCGUGUUCUGGAAACUAGGGUUUCUUGUUCUUGUUCUUGUUCUUGUUCUUGUUCUUGUUCUUGUUGGAGAAAGAAGGUGUAUUCUCCUAAACUGUCUCAAACCUAUUUAAAAAAAACAGCAUGAGUUCUCGACGUCGAACAAGUAUUUACAUGACUUUGGUGUGUCCGCUUCAAACACUGAGGUUAUCCCAUCACUUGUGUAAGAACAUCAACUUAAAAAAAAAAAAAAAAUUCUUAAUUACCUCAUAGACCCAAACAAGCCAGAGAGACGUCAGGAUACAUAAUAUGUUUUGGACAAACUCAGCACAUCAUGGAAAUGCUAGCCAGUAUUGCUGUUACUUAUUGUAGUGGUCGACCUUUCAUCGUAAAAGCUUCUCAACAUGCAAGAAGAGAAAAGGGAGUUGAGGGGGUGUCGGAGGGAGGCAGCUACCCUCUACAAACAAAGCUUUAGGUCCAAGUCAGUGCCUUCUUCUCCCUCGUCCUUUUUCUCUUCUUCCUUUCUCUUGGAAGGACCGGCUGCUGCCUGACUAUCCUUGCCAUCCUCCAAGAAAUCUUCUGGCAGAAAUGAUGGAUUCCAAGCCACAGUACUAACCUUCUCUUCUCCAACUUUCCUGAUCUCCUCUUUCUCUUUAAAUAUUCCGAUAUUUGAGUUUCUUCUUAUUUGAUCAUGCAUUUGUUUUGUACUUCUCAGCAAAGCGAAGAACUUCUCCAUCUUCUCUUC